UACGUAGGGUGCAAGCGUUAAUCGGAAUUACUGGGCGUAAAGCGUGCGCAGGCGGCUUUGCAAGACAGAUGUGAAAUCCCCGGGCUCAACCUGGGAACUGCAUUUGUGACUGCAUGGCUGGAGUGCGGCAGAGGGGGAUGGAAUUCCGCGUGUAGCAGUGAAAUGCGUAGAUAUUCGGAGGAAUACCAGUGGCGCAAGCGGUUAACUGGACGGGCAUUGACGCUCAGAUACGAAAGCAUGGGGAGCAAACAGG
rnacentral:rRNA from 1 species